GAAACGACUGCUAAUACCGCAUACGCCCUACGGGGGAAAGGAGGGGACCUUCGGGCCUUUCGCGAUUGGAUGAACCUAGGUGGGAUUAGCUAGUAGGUGGGGUAAUGGCUCACCUAGGCAACGAUCCCUAGCUGGUCUGAGAGGAUGAUCAGCCACACUGGAACUGAGACACGGUCCAGACUCCUACGGGAGGCAGCAGUGGGGAAUAUUGCACAAUGGGCGAAAGCCUGAUGCAGCCAUGCCGCGUGUAUGAAGAAGGCCUUCGGGUUGUAAAGUACUUUCAGCGAGGAGGAAAGGUAGGUAGUUAAUAACUGCUUACUGUGACGUUACUCGCAGAAGAAGCACCGGCUAACUUCGUGCCAGCAGCCGCGGUAAUACGAGGGGUGCAAGCGUUAAUCGGAAUUACUGGGCGUAAAGCGUACGCAGGCGGUUUGUUAAGCAAGAUGUGAAAGCCCCGGGCUCAACCUGGGAACUGCAUUUUGAACUGGCAAACUAGAGUCUUGUAGAGGGGGGUAGAAUUUCAGGUGUAGCGGUGAAAUGCGUAGAGAUCUGAAGGAAUACCGGUGGCGAAGGCGGCCCCCUGGACAAAGACUGACGCUCAGGUACGAAAGCGUGGGGAGCNNACAGGAUUAGAUACCCUGGU
rnacentral:rRNA from 1 species